UACAGAGGUCUCAAGCGUUGUUCGGAUUCAUUGGGCGUAAAGGGUGCGUAGGCGGCGCGGUAAGUCGGGGUGUGAAAUCUUGGAGCUUAACUCCGAAACUGCAUUCGAUACUGCCGUGCUUGAGGACUGGAGAGGAGACUGGAAUUUACGGUGUAGCGGUGAAAUGCGUAGAUAUCGUAAGGAAGACCAGUGGCGAAGGCGGGUCUCUGGACAGUUCCUGACGCUGAGGCACG
rnacentral:rRNA from 1 species